GUGUCAGCCGCCGCGGUAAUACGAACUGUGCGAACGUUAUUCGGAAUCACUGGGCUUACAGGGUGCGUAGGCGGCUAUUCAGGUCAGGUGUGAAAGCCCUCGGCUCAACCGAGGAACUGCGCUUGAAACCGGAUGGCUCGAGUCAACUAGAGGUGCACGGAACUUCCAGUGGAGCGGUGAAAUGUGUUGAUAUUGGAAGGAACACCGGAGGCGAAAGCGGUGCACUGGGGUUGGUCUGACGCUGAGGCACGAAAGCCAGGGGAGCGAACGGGAUUAGAAACCCUCGUAGUCC
rnacentral:rRNA from 1 species